UGGGUCCAGGAAUGCCACCAGGCUGCCCA
rnacentral:piRNA from 1 species